rnacentral:rRNA from 1 species
UACGGGGGGAGCAAGCGUUGUUCGGAUUUACUGGGCGUAAAGGGCGCGUAGGCGGUCAGCACAAGUCAGUUGUGAAAUCUCCGGGCUUAACUCGGAAAGGUCAACUGAUACUGUGCGACUAGAGUGCAGAAGGGGCAACUGGAAUUCUCGGUGUAGCGGUGAAAUGCGUAGAUAUCGUGAGGAAGACCAGUUGCGAAGGCGGAUCUCUGGGCAGUUCCUGACACUGAGGCACGAAGGCCAGGGGAGCAAACGGG